rnacentral:hammerhead_ribozyme from 1 species
AUCCAGCUGACAAAUCCCAAAUAGGAUGAAACGCGCAUUCUGGAU